GGCGGCGAGGGUGGGGGACCACAGUGACCAGGCCGGCGUCCCCACCCGCCUCUAAACUUAGCCGCGGUGACGGCGAUCGCGGCGGGCCGGGGACACAGGGGGCCCGAGCAGAGAGGGGGGCUGGCUCGCCUCGGCUGUGAGAGCUUCUAUUUAUAGUGCCCGGAGCCCGAAAUAGCGUGGAGCAGAGCGGCCUGGAUGACGCGGGAGCCGCCCGGGGCUGACUCACCCGGCCCGGAGUGGAGGCCCCCGGAUGGGGGGACAGUGGAGCGCACCGGACCCGACCCCCGCGCCUUCACGGACACCUCUUCUACUACUGCACCUCAAUGUGUCCACUGGGACAAUGUGUCCGUGGAUGAAUAGAUACACAGCAAAAGAUGUUUGUAGCAGAGGCACUGCAGUUGGAUUAAGGGAAGAACUUCCACCAAAGAAAUUGGACCAGCUCCAGGGUCUCCUCCCGGGAACCAGGAAGGGCUCCUGCUACUUUAAGACGGAGAACAGUCGAUUCGCGUUGCCUGGGCAGCGCCGCGGCGGUUGCCUAGCAACGUCAACAAACCACAGCGCCGUUGCGACUCCGUGCGCCCUCCCCCCCGGCCGCCCGCGCUGACGCAGUGACGCGGCAGCCUGUGGCACGCCGUUACCUAGCGACGGGAAGGUUGUUUGUCCCUGGCCAAGCGGCGCGACCGCGCACAGCAGCCAAGACCGGCCAGGGCAGACAGACGGCUCGACCCGGAGAUGGCAGCGAGGGGACACCCGUAUCCCCAAAUUACCACUGUCUGCUUUCUGUUUGCGCCCCCUCCUCCCCGGAGUGCCUGUCCGUCCGGAGCCUCCCGCUCGCUGACUGUCUCCUUCCCCUCAAACCAUAGCACUCAAAAACAGGAGCACAAAAAGAGGAGAGGUGGCCCUUCUCAAGCGUGUCACUGUGACCUCAGAUCCUAAGUUUCUGGGUGUAGUGCUAGGUCAGGGGGA